CACACUACACCACUACUCUUACUCCCAACUGAGAAUCUGUACUACUAUGUGGACAAAGUAUUCAGUGCGAUCGUAGGAUCAAGUGUGAGCUGUCCCACUGUGAUGUGUGAUAUUUUUUAUUCUCUGAGACAGAUGGCUGCUAAGAGAUUUCCUAGAUACACAGACAGUUAGGACUUUAACUCUCAUCUCAAAAACCAUUCAGAUUAUUGGAAACUGGGGAUGUCAAUCCAGAAGAAAGUCACGGUUCAAAAAGUCAGUCAUGUGUGAAUUUCUCAAAAUGUUUCAAGAAGAAAGGUAUUUUACAGACGUGAAAAAG
rnacentral:lncRNA from 1 species